rnacentral:rRNA from 1 species
UGAGGAAUAUUGGGCAAUGCCCGCAAGGGUGACCCAGCAACGCCGCGUGGAGGAUGAAUGUCGUAAGAUUGUAAACUCCUGUUAGAGGGGAAGGAUAGUACCGGUUGGACCGGUAUAUGACUGUACCCUCAGAGAAAGCCCCGGCUAACUACGUGCCAGCAGCCGCGGUAAUACGUAGGGGGCAAGCGUUGUCCGGAUUUACUGGGUGUAAAGGGCGCGCAGGCGGGAUAAAAAGUCAGUGGUGAAAUCCUACAGCUUAACUGUAGAACUGCCUUUGAUACUUUUAUUCUUGAGUUCGGGAGAGAGAGACGGAAUUCCAGGUGUAGUGGUGAAAUACGUAGAUAUCUGGAAGAACACCAGUUGCGAAGGCGGUCUCUUGGUCCGACACUGACGCUGAGGCGCGAAAGCGUGGGGAGCAAACA